UGCUACUCUGUACAUUCACGGCCUUUAGUUUGUGAUUGUAUGAGUCUGCAACGUACAGAGUUUUGUUUUGAUUUUCGUCAAACUGCUUUCUGUCUUUGUCCCUAAAAGCAAUCAGAUUCUAGAAAUCACCAAAACAUUUAUCCCAUUCAGUUUAAAUUUGAAACACAGGGAAAAAGGAUGUGUGAAUAUCUUCAAUGCUGCAAGAACUUCAAACCUCACAACAAAUCAGUAUGUUUACUUUACUUACUGAAUUAUUUGAGUUUUAUUAAGUCCUACCGUGCAGCAUCGAAAAUACAGUAGGACAUCAAAUGAAAAAAUCUCCCAAACUAAAUUAGCGUUUAACAAAUUACAAAUUUGUAAAUUAAAGUAUAUUUUUGGGGAAAUUAAUAACGGAUACAUCAGAUAAAAUGGAAGUUCAGAUAGUCGGAACUCUGCCAUAUCUGUUUUACUGGAAAUAAUUAUACUUUAUGAAUGCACAUGUAAAUGUUUCAGGUAUGUUAAACUGUGUGUAUUUGGUGUACUUAACAUUAGAGACAUAUACCGUCUUUGCUGUCCGUGUGCUUUGGUCCCAUACCAAUGUCUCGUUGAAUUUAUAGCUACAGGAGUAGUGCUGAGGUAUCGUAAACCUUCCCAUGAUAUUUAAAUAGGGAAAAGAAGUCUGCACUUAGAGUUUAAAGAUUGUUAAAGACAAUAAAUAUUUGUCUUUGUUAUGUAAGUUUUCAGGUUUUGGUAUAUAGAUACUUUACAGCACUUUGUUGAAAUUAAUCAAGAAUGCGAUACCAUGACAUCAGUCGGAUAGAAAGCUGCAUAUGUGCUAACAAGAAAUAAUUUAUGAAUGCGUCUUAACAAUCAGAGGUUGGGCCUCCAGGGUCUGUUCCAAGUCUCAAAACUGAUCAGACCAUCUUUUCUUCUAGGCUCUCCCAACAUUUCUUCUUUUCUGAGGUUUGUAUAACAAUGCUUUUCUGUGCAGUAUGUUGUUCUCCAUUCUUUCUGUUCUCUCCAGUGUACUUGGUAUAUCUCUGUAUCUUCUACUGUAUUAGUCAUGCAAACACAAUCUCUAAUUAUUAAUUGAUUUCAGGUAUAAUAACCUAAUGUAAUGAACUCGUGUUUACAGCAACUCCAAUUGCAGGCAGUAGUAACAUGCCUGCAAGCCAGCAGGAGACAAGUGAGGACAUGGUCCAGACAGGGAGCAGUCGACCACUGUACUGACUCACAGGCUCAUGUCACAGUGGACCAAGCAGCUCAAUCACCAGAGAACCCUUACUCCUGGCACUGUGGGAAGUCUGCCAUUGGCUGAAAAGGGGGGGGGGGGCUCCUGGCAUAGACAGCUUGGACUGGGUGGUGAUAUUCUUCAUUCUGAAAGGAAACACCUGCAAGGAUAAUUUAUGAAUUGUGAGGGUAAUUACUAUGAAAGUUCUCCAAUCUUUCUUAGGUGGUUUAUUUGACUGUCCGAGAAUUUUUGCAUAAUAAUCACAUGAGCAAAGACUUAAAACUUUUUCUAAAUUUUAAGUUUGUGAAAAAUGACAGUGGAACCACGGUUCCGGAGAAUUUGCCGUAAAUACGUCUCUGUACUUAAUGUCUCUGUAAUGUAUUGUAAUGGAAUGUAAUGAAAUGUUGUUGUCGGUAAAUAUUUACACAUUGUUGAUAUUGUCGACAACAGUGGUUACCUGGUUACCUAUGUAAACAUUGUUGUCUAUUUGUUUAUACGGAUCUUACACGUUUUACGUUUCCUUGGUAACAACAAUGACGAAUAAACAGAUGACGUUUCCUAGGUAACCAUCUUACACAUUUUCCUUUCACUUGUUUGCGGAAUGACCCUUCCGUAUAGACGUAUUUAUGUCAAAAAAAAAUUCCUGAAAAUUUGGAUUUCUAGAGACUGUUGCUUUACCAUAGUUGUGGUGAACACAGAGCAUAAUUAGAACAAGUUUUCUCCAUGAAUUUCAGUUAAUAUUUAGUGAGCAAUAGACUUGACCAUUCUGUACUUUUUGGCUUCACCUCAGAGGCAAGAGAAAGAAAUGUGACAACAUAAAAGCAUUAUAUGAUCUAGUACAAAUAUUUAAUGAAAUAACUGCCUGUAUGUAGUGACAUUAAAAUUCAGAGUGUUGUUGAUCAUUGCAGGAUAAUGUCCUCAAGAACAGUUUCCUGAUCAUGUUCUGAGGCUGGAUCCAUAUUGUUACCUCCCUUGUCCUUCAUACUUAUCAGUCCUAAUGCAGCAUGUUUAAUGCUGGAAUUUUUAGCCCCCCACCAAACCUUCAAGCUGGAGGACCAUUCUUGUCUGCUGUUGGAUUAUUUUGCCGUUCGUAAGCGUUUAUCUCGAUUUCUCCAAGAUGAAGAAAACAUCGAGAGAUAAACGUGAUAUCUAUUACCGACUAGCAAAGGAAGAUGGCUGGAGGGCAAGAAGCGCCUAUAAACUAUUGCACUUGGAUCAGCAAUUUGAUAUCUUUAAAGGGAACAAAGUCCAGAAAGACAGCCUCUGAUUGCCAGUCACACUAACAAUAGCUGGUAACUUACAAGGGUAAUUAGAAAAUAUAAAAUUAACACUGAAAGUUGCACAUGGAGACAAACUGCACUCCUAAUUAAUGACACAAAUACCAUGAGAACAAUUUAGUUAUAAUGACUGGCAUUUUAAUAACAGUUCUUUCUUAAAAAUUUAUAUAUAAAAUACAGUUGGCAGACAGACCAUAUAUAUUUUUCAUCUGUUUAAAAUGUUUCAAUAUGUUGGUGACAUAGAAUGUGUUAUUGUACCAGCACCAUUUUAAAGAGGCAUUUAAAUUUUAAAUGAAUGACAGAAAGUGUUAAGACCAGCUUGGGAUUUUGAACUCUGGAGCAGUCUAGAGCAGUGGUAUUCAACCUUUUUUGUUUGCAUACCCACAGAUAUAAUUUCUCUUCAACUUUGUACUCCCGAAGUUGUUGGUGUAUAAU